rnacentral:rRNA from 1 species
UGGAAACAGGAGAGUGCCUCGCAAGAGGAGCUCUCACACAGGUGCUGCAUGGCUGUCGUCAGCUCGUGCCGUGAGGUGUUGGGUUAAGUCCCGCAACGAGCGCAACCCCAUCCCCAGUUGCCAUCAUUAAGUUGGGCACUCUGAGGAAACUGCCCGGGUUAACCGGGAGGAAGCGGGGAUGACGUCAAGUCCUCAUGGCCCUUAUGGGUAGGGCUUCACACGUCAUACAAUGGUCGGUACAGAGGGUUGCCAACCCGCGAGGGGGAGCUAAUCCCACAAAAGCCGAUCGUAGUCCGGAUCGCAGUCUGCAACUCGACUGCGUGAAGUCGGAAUCGCUAGUAAUCGUGGAUCAGCAUGUCACGGUGAAUACGUUCCCGGGUCUU